GCAAGUCGAGCAAAGUCUUCGGACUUAGCGGCGGACGGGUGAGUAACGCGUGGGAACGUACCCUUUGCUACGGGACAGUCCCGGGAAACUGGGUUUAAUACCGUAUACGCUCUUCGGAGGAAAGAUUUAUCGGCAAAGGAUCGGCCCGCGUUGGAUUAGGUAGUUGGUGGGGUAAUGGCCUACCAAGCCGACGAUCCAUAGCUGGUUUGAGAGGAUGAUCAGCCACACUGGGACUGAGACACGGCCCAGACUCCUACGGGAGGCAGCAGUGGGGAAUCUUAGACAAUGGGGGCAACCCUGAUCUAGCCAUGCCGCGUGAGCGAUGAAGGCCUUAGGGUUGUAAAGCUCUUUCGCUGGGGAAGAUAAUGACGGUACCCAGUAAAGAAGCCCCGGCUAACUCCGUGCCAGCAGCCGCGGUAAUACGGAGGGGGCUAGCGUUGUUCGGAAUUACUGGGCGUAAAGCGCGCGUAGGCGGAUUGGAAAGUUGGGGGUGAAAUCCCGGGGCUCAACCCCGGAACUGCCUCCAAAACUAUCAGUCUAGAGUUCGAGAGAGGUGAGUGGAAUUGC
rnacentral:rRNA from 1 species